rnacentral:SRP_RNA from 1 species
CGUCUGGCUUGACCGGGGCGCUUGGCGUGCCCUAUACCCGAAAUCGUCAAUACGCGGGGGUGACAGCAGGGGACGGCCCCGCUGAACAUUUCAAGCCCAUCUAGCGACAAUGAAAUCUUGUCCUGCAGAGUCGGAGUUUGCGACGAAUGCGACCGGAGGGCCGCAGUUCACGCAUCAACUGGGGGAACCGGGUCAGGUCCUGACGGGAGCAGCCUUACCCUGGACUACUGACGUUUGCGGGAUCGCAGGGUUGAGAAGCGAAAUGGCAAACUUGAGAUGGGAGGUGGGGACAACCCCUGUGGCCAGGCG